UCUGGUUGAUCCUGCCAGAGGUCACUGCUAUCAGUAUUCGACUAAGCCAUGCGAGUCAAAUGUUCUUUGUGAACAUGGCGUACUGCUCAGUAACACGUGGAUAAUCUGCCCUAAGGUCAGGCAUAACUCCGGGAAACUGGUGAUAAUACCUGAUAUAUCAUAGACACUGGAAUGUUCUGUGAUCAAAAGCUCCGGUGCCUUAGGAUGAAUCUGCGGCCUAUCAGGUUGUAGUGGGUGUAAUGUACCUACUAGCCGACGACGGGUACGGGUUGUGAGAGCAAGAGCCCGGAGAUGGAUUCUGAGACAUGAAUCCAGGCCCUACGGGGCGCAGCAGGCGCGAAAUCUUUACAAUGCGGGGAACCGCGAUAAGGGGAUACUGAGUGCCAGCAUAUUAUGUUGGCUGUCCACCUGUAUAAAUAGCAGGUGUUAGCAAGGGCCGGGCAAGACCGGUGCCAGCCGCCGCGGUAACACCGGCGGCCCGAGUGGUGGCCACUAUUAUUGGGUCUAAAGGGUCCGUAGCCGGUUCGAUCAGUCUUCCGGGAAAUCUGACAGCUCAACUGUUAGGCUUCCGGGGGAUACUGUCGGACUUGGGACCGGGAGAGGUAAGAGGUACUACAGGGGUAGGAGUGAAAUCUUGUAAUCCUUGUGGGACCACCAGUGGCGAAGGCGUCUUACCAGAACGGGUCCGACGGUGAGGGACGAAAGCUGGGGGCACGAACCGGAUUAGAUACCCGGGUAGUCCAGCUGUAAACGAUGCUCGCUAGGUGUCUGGGACGGUGCGACCGUUUCAGUGCCGCAGGGAAGCCGUGAAGCGAGUCACCUGGGAAGUACGGCCGCAGGCUGAAACUUAAAGGAAUUGGCGGGGGAGCAC
rnacentral:rRNA from 1 species